rnacentral:rRNA from 1 species
GUUAAGGCAUGAUGGCCUGUACCCGAAACCGACACAGGUGGGGUGGUAGAGAAUACCGAGGGGCGCGAGGUAACUCUCUCUAAGGAACUCGGCAAAAUGGCCCCGUAACUUCGGGAGAAGGGGUGCCACCGCAAGGUGGUCGCAGUGAAGAGGCCCAGGCGACUGUUUACCAAAAACACAGGUCUCCGCUAAGUCGCAAGACGAUGUAUGGGGGCUGACGCCUGCCCAGUGCCGGAAGGUUAAGGAAGCUGGUCAGCGCAAGCGAAGCUGGCGACUGAAGCCCCGGUGAACGGCGGCCGUAACUAUAACGGUCCUAAGGUAGCGAAAUUCCUUGUCGGGUAAGUUCCGACCCGCACGAAAGGCGUAACGAUCUGGGCGCUGUCUCGGAGAGAGGCUCGGCGAAAUAGAAUUGUCUGUGAAGAUGCGGACUACGUGCACCCGGACAGAAAGACCCUAUGAAGCUUUACUGUAGCUUGGUAUUGUGCCCGGGCUCUGAAUGCGCAGGAUAGGUGGGAGGCUUUGAUCCAUUGCUUGUGGGUGAUGGUGAGCCACUGGUGAGAUACCACUCUUUCAGAGCUAGGGUUCUAACGGUCACCCGUUAUCCGGGGACCGGACAGUAUCAGGUGGGCAGUUUGACUGGGGCGGUCGCCUCCUAAAAGGUAACGGAGGCGCGCAAAGGUUCCCUCAGGCUGGUUGGAAAUCAGCCGACGAGUGUAAAGGCAGAAGGGAGCUUGACUGUGAGACCUACAAGUCGAACAGGGACGAAAGUCGGCCUUAGUGAUCCGACGGUUCUGAGUGGAAGGGCCGUCGCUCAACGGAUAAAAGUUACUCUAAGGAUAACAGGCUGAUCUCCCCCAAGAGUUCACAUCGACGGGGAGGUUUGGCACCUCGAUGUCGGCUCAUCGCAACCUGGGGCUGAAGUCGGUCCCAAGGGUUGGGCUGUUCGCCCAUUAAAGCGGUACGCGAGCUGGGUUCAGAACGUCGUGAGACAGUUCGAUCCAUAUCCGGUGCACGCGCAGGAACAUUGAGAGGAUUUCUCCCUAGUACGAGAGGACCGGGAGGAACGCACCUCUGGUGUACCAGUUAUCGUGCCAACGGUAAACGCUGGGUAGCCAUGUGCGGAGUGGAUAACCGCUGAAAGCAUCUAAGUGGGAAGCCCACCUCAAGAUGAGUGUUCCCAUGGCAUAAGCCAGUAAGGUCACGGGAAGAACACCCGUUGAUAGGCUCUACGUGGAAGCGUGGCAACACGUGAAGCGGAGGAGUACUAAUAGACCGAGGGCUUGACCG